rnacentral:rRNA from 1 species
UACGUAGGGUGCGAGCGUUAAUCGGAAUUACUGGGCGUAAAGAGCGCGCAGGCGGUCGUUCAAGUCGCGUGUGAAAGCCCCCGGCUCAACUGGGGAGGGUCACGCGAUACUGAUCGACUCGAAGGCAGGAGAGGGUAGUGGAAUUCCCGGUGUAGUGGUGAAAUGCGUAGAUAUCGGGAGGAACACCAGUGGCGAAGGCGACUACCUGGCCUGUUUCUUGACGCUGAGGCGCGAAAGCUAGGGGAGCAAACGGG